rnacentral:rRNA from 1 species
GACGAACGCUGGCGGCGUGCUUAACACAUGCAAGUCGAACGGAAAGGCCCUGCUUUUGUGGGGUGCUCGAGUGGCGAACGGGUGAGUAACACGUGAGUAACCUGCCCUUGACUUUGGGAUAACUUCAGGAAACUGGGGCUAAUACCGGAUAGGAGCUCCUGCUGCAUGGUGGGGGUUGGAAAGUUUCGGCGGUUGGGGAUGGACUCGCGGCUUAUCAGCUUGUUGGUGGGGUAGUGGCUUACCAAGGCUUUGACGGGUAGCCGGCCUGAGAGGGUGACCGGCACAAUGGGAAUGAAAAUAGGCCCCGGCGUCGAACGGGAGGCGGAGGGGGGAAAUCUGACAGAGGGGCGGGAGGCGUGGGGAGAAAGCCCCGUGGGAGGAAAGCGCACGUACGGUUUGAAAACCUUUUCCCACUGAGCGGAGGGGGGGGGGACGGUAGGGGAUAAAAAAGCACCGGCUAACUACGUG